UAGCAAGCAGCUUAAUUGGUUGAGCAUUCCAUUGAUAAUGGAGAGGUAAUUGGUUCAAAUCCAAUCUUGCUAG
rnacentral:tRNA from 1 species